UUUUCCUUAGAAUUUGAAUAAAGAUUAGAUAAUUUUUUUGUUGGGUUCGAUGGAAUUGUAGAUUUAAUGAGUCUCACAUGACUAUAUAUAUAAGAGACAUUGACAUAAUUUUUAAUAAAAAAUUUAAGAGAAUAAUUAUGUGAUUAUUUUUUUACUUGUUUUGAGUUGUUUUGAGUUGUUUUGAGUUGUGCCUAGAAUCCUAGAGAUGUCUUUACUUGUUUUCUACUCUACUCUCUUUCACUGUAUCUCAGAUUAAUCUANANUUUCUAUAUAAAUAUUGAGAACCUAAGAGAGACUUGCACAAGCUUCUCUAAGAUAUCUGCUCUCUCUUUUUUUUUUUCUCAAAUACAUACAAGUGCUUAUUUGGUGGAGCAGUUUCAUGUGCUUAGAAUAGAGAAGCCUUUAAUUUAAACCUGAAUAAAAAAAAUAAAUAGCUAUAAGUGCAGCAGACAAUCUUUUUAUUGGUAUUCAAUGUUUCAUUAAAUUUAUCAUACANCAAAUAUAAUAAAAACCACAAAGCAAUUAGAUAAACUUACUGGUGCACGUAUAGCAAUUUUUCCCACAGACAAGUUUAGAUCUGGCAGUUCCCGGAUGCAAUUUUUAUCUUUUGACUGACCUGUGUUUUCUACAUUGUCAAGACUACUUGAGGAUUUCCCAGGUUGGGAUUUUGAAUGUGCAGAUAAAUUUUCAGAACACGGGUGAUAAAUUAACUAUUCUGUUCUUAUUAAUGUUUUUCAGAACAGGAAGUUCCAGCAGUUUCAAGCCCNACAAUUUGUAAUCAUCGAAGUAUGCCGUAGUCUGUUUUGAUUGGAGAGCAUUUUUGUUUUAGGGUCUUUCAUUUUGUUAUUAGUAAUGCUUUNCNGUGUAUUAGUAUCUUUCUCUUGUUAUUGUGAAUACUUCUAAUUUGUCUGAUAUGAUCGAAACCUUGCUGACUGAGGCUCGUUAUCAGCUGUAACAUGAAUACCUGUCCCACCUGGGGAAUUCAUCCAGACAUGUUGCUUUGAGGGAAAAGUCUAUAACUGACAUUUUUAUUUUGUAUACUUCAAAGUUCGGAGCAGCUUUCUCUCGAGAAAUUGUGACCGCUCUGCAUGAUCUUGUAUAACGUCUACAACAACAUUUGUAAGCUGUUUUGUGCUGUUUAGUUUCUGACAUUUAUUUAAUAUAGUAAUGGCAAUGAAUAUACUGAAUUUUCUUAUUUUUCAAAAGUUAUCUUUAAACUUAUUUAAGUUGUAUAUUAUUAAAUAUACGUAUAUUCAUUGCCAUUAUUAAUCAUACUAAGGAGGUGACUGAUCAAAGCAUAUUAAGUGCAGUGAUGAAUGUGUGAACGAUUAUACUUUUUACUUUUAUUUAUAGUUAUGGAUUUUUUUUUGGGUUUAAUCAUAUUUUAAUAAAUAUUAGUAGAUUGAUUUGUAAUUAUAUUGACUAAUUAUUAAUAUGAUUUUUAUUUUGUAAUCGGUCAGUUUUCUUAAAUCCACCUGCAUCUUUAAAUUUAUCACNCGUGUUCUUAGAUUGAGACACUUCAGUCUUCUGUUUAUCAGCACCUUCUGCAUCAAGAGGAUCAUUAUUUGAUACUUUUGAACAGACAGGGGGGUCCGAAACUGGUGUAGCAUCAACAAUUUUNUUUUUCAAACUAAUUCCANAGACAUCCAUUUGCUUCUGAAAUUUCAGGUCUUCAUAAUGUUCACUAGGUACGCCAACGUUAUUUGAGGAACUGAGCAUAUUUUUCACAGGUAAUGAUGAAGUCUUCACAACGACACUCUUGCCCACUUUCACAAGUUUAUUUGAUACAUGACCAUCAAUAUUUUCUCCAGGAUUCUUUGAUAUAUCUUUUCGGCGCCUUUGUUUAUUUGAUACAUGACCAUCAAUAUUUUCUUUGAUACAUGACCAAACAAUUCUGCCACAUUGUAGAAAUCAGCAUUUACAGUAUAUAAUUGUGUGCCAACAGUUUUUCCUUGAUUAAUCUCUGGCACAGAGACUGUCAUUUUCCCAGGAAUAGGAUCUCUUGCUGCUACAACAAUACAAUGUCUUGUCCCAUUAUAGUAUUCUUCUGUUGUCAUGAAAUUAGAAGGCCUUGGAAACAUCUCCUUUAUACAACAAUACAAUAUCAUGUUUUUAUUCAUUAGUAUGCAGUGCCUAUUUGUUUUAUGGUAUGCUUGGAUCGAUGUGUGUUUGGUUACAUGAUUCAGAUGAAUUGUACAAUUAUUGGAAUACUAUGCAAUAAUGUCCAAUGAAAAUGGAAUUUAGUUAGUGCUUUGGCUUUUGGUAUCUGUCUGUGUCAUAGUUAGCUUUAUUGGUUGUUGCAAUAAGAUUUAUAUGCAUAGUGUGAGAAGUAUUGGUCCAUUGCAUUUUAUAUAUGGUGUAAA
rnacentral:lncRNA from 1 species